AGUGAAUAGAUACCCGGGUAGUCCACGCCGUAAACGAUGGAUGCUAGCUGUACGGAGUAUCGACCCUCUGUGUAGCAAAAAGCUAACGCGUUAAGCAUCCCGCCUGUGGAGUACGAGCGCAAGCUUAAAACAUAAAGGAAUUGACGGGGACCCGCACAAGCGGUGGAGCGUGUUGUUUAAUUCGAUGGUAAGCGAAGAACCUUACCCAGGCUUGACAUCCUGUUAAUCUUUCCGAAAGGAAGGAGUGCCUUCGGGCCGCAGUGACAGGUGAUGCAUGGCCGUCGUCAGCUCGUGUCGUGAGAUGUUUGGUUAAGUCCAUCAACGAGCGCAACCCCUGUAGUUAGUUGGAUUUUUCUAGCUAGACUGCCUCGGUAACGGGGAGGAAGGAGGGGACGAUGUCAGGUCAGUAUCUCCCUUACGUCUGGGGCUACAAACACGCUACAAUGGCCGGUACAAAGGGCUGCCAACCCGCGAGGGGAGCAAAUCCCAUCAAAGCCGGUCUCAGUUCGGAUUGCAGGCUGAAACUCGCCUGCAUGAAG
rnacentral:rRNA from 1 species